UACGGAAGGUGCAAGCGUUAUCCGGAAUCACUGGGUUUAAAGGGUGCGUAGGCUGUUUAAUAAGUCAGAGGUGAAAUAUGCGGGCUUAACCUGCAAACUGCCUUUGAAACUGUUAGACUUGAAAUAGGUUGAGGUUAGCGGAAUGUGACAUGUAGCGGUGAAAUGCAUAGAUAUGUCAUAGAACACCAAUUGCGAAGGCA
rnacentral:rRNA from 1 species